UCUAUAAAUAUCUCAUGAGGGCAAAUAUCAAGGAGGAAGAAGCUGAAGUGAAAUGGGCAGAAAUUCAAUACAAAUAAAUUUAGGCUGGAUAUGAGAAAAACAACAGUAGGGUUCUUGAAAAGGAAUAGAAGUUCUUGAGGGAAACAACCUAAAAUGCCAUCAACUUAGGCUAUGAAAAUUUAUCUGCAUUACUAGGGACUGAACUCAAUGACUCAGAAGAUCACCUCCAGCCCUAUGCUCCUGCAUUCCCUAUUAGCCCUCCCUAAUUCAGCUUUGCCUUAUCAAAGGAUUUUUUUCCCCAGUAUACCUUUCUACAGCUGGCCUUUUACAUUUGACAGAAGUAACCAGCUGCAGCUCUGAUGUGGCUAUUUGGUAACAGGCAGCAGCUUGUUACAUCAUCAUGUCUUCCCACUGAAACACGCAUCUUAUGCUAAGAACACUGCAAAAGAGAGAUCUCGUUUUAAACCAUUUAUUCCAAAAGACAAAUACCGCCUAAACAACAAGCCCUUGACGUCUGUGACACAGGAGACAUUCAAAAGUCAUUAAGACUAUCUCAAGGGAGCUUCUACAGUUGCUUCACUUUAGGUAAUUAGACAAAGGAAGAAAAAGACAUUUGUGUCCAAGGAAUGCUUUCAUUCGGAACUGUGAUAAAUGGCCACCCUUUCCAAGGAGCUGCAGUCCAACUGUAUGACAGAAAGUUCCUUCACAAGAGGGCUACCCGUGGAGAGCCACCCAUCAAAACACUUUCACUUGGAGUUUCAUCUUUCACUGUAAAACCUGCCUAAAGUUUCCGUUGAUGGUAUAACUUUUCAUCCAGCCAGUGAAAUAGAGUUGAACCGGAUUCUAAGUUCAUACAUUGUUAAUAAUUUGGCAAGGAAUGGUUUAACGUGUUUAGCAUAGUAAAUGCAGCAGCAGCAGAGCAAGCUUGGUACUUCUACUACAGUUGGAUUAAAAUAUCAAUAAUAAAAACUACUGAAUUAGCAA